UUAUUUCUGUGGAGGUUGCUGGAAGCUCUCUGGUCACUGCAGUAGAGGAGUGCAUAUGAAAAUGAAGUAAACAUAUGGGAAAGAAGAACGAAGGUGAUGAGAGGCCCAAGGAGACAUGAUAUACACAUCUGGAUCAUACUGUAUGUGAAGGUCAAUGCUGAAGAUUCUGCUGUAUGACAUUGUGCCUUCUAGAAGAAAGCACCCCAGGAGAGGGAAUAUGAUGUGUUCUCUGCCACCUAUCUCAUUGCAGAGAUGAACAUGCAUGACAAAAUGAUCUCCAGAAAAGACACACUUGAGAUGUGAUACUGACUCACCACAGCUUGAGGAUGAGUUUAGAGAGAAGGACAACAGAAGAGCAAAGAAAGAAUCAAGAAGGUUGCUUUACUGUGUGGUAGGAACUUCAAGAGAAAUAAUCUAGGUAAUCUGAG
rnacentral:lncRNA from 1 species